CAAGCCACAACAAAUGGAGAUAUUACACUUGAAGAUCCUAGAGGAGGCUGUCAGGGGUAGUGAUCAUGAAGAGACUCAUGGAUCUGAGAUGAUUCCUAGGCUGAGUGAGAAAGCGUAUGAAUGUUCAUUCCACAUUCAGGCGUUUGGCACACGCAACAUA